CGCAAGGUUAAAACUCAAAUGAAUUGACGGGGGCCCGCACAAGCGGUGGAGCAUGUGGUUUAAUUCGAUGCAACGCGAAGAACCUUACCUGGUCUUGACAUCCACAGAACUUUCCAGAGAUGGAUUGGUGCCUUCGGGAACUGUGAGACAGGUGCUGCAUGGCUGUCGUCAGCUCGUGUUGUGAAAUGUUGGGUUAAGUCCCGCAACGAGCGCAACCCUUAUCCUUUGUUGCCAGCGGUCCGGCCGGGAACUCAAAGGAGACUGCCAGUGAUAAACUGGAGGAAGGUGGGGAUGACGUCAAGUCAUCAUGGCCCUUACGACCAGGGCUACACACGUGCUACAAUGGCGCAUACAAAGAGAAGCGACCUCGCGAGAGCAAGCGGACCUCAUAAAGUGCGUCGUAGUCCGGAUUGGAGUCUGCAACUCGACUCCAUGAAGUCGGAAUCGCUAGUAAUCGUGGAUCAGAAUGCCACGGUGAAUACGUUCCCGGGCCUUGUACACACCGCCCGUCACACCAUGGGAGUGGGUUGCAAAAGAAGUAGGUAGCUUAACCUUCGGGAGGGCGCUUACCACUUUGUGAUUCAUGACUGGGGUGAAGUCGUAACAAGGUAACCGUAGGGGAACCUGCGGUUGGAUCAC
rnacentral:rRNA from 2 species